ACACGUGGUGUUGAUCAGCACAUAAAUUGCGGCUCCGCUUCAUUAACAGUCUCUCUUCCUCGUUGCGGUGAUGGAGGAGGCACAUGUUCCUGUGGAAGACUCACAACUAAACACAUGUUCUGCUUCAUCCUCGAUACACAACCCUCAGAGCCCGACCUGGAUGGAUCUGAUGAGAUAAGGUAAUGGGAGCAAUGCUGAAACGGAUCAAUGCUGGAUCGCCUCAGUUUUAGGGAUUUUUUAAUUUAUUGGUGGAACUAGGCUAAAUAUUAUUUCUACUCUUAUCACUUAAGUCCCAGUUGUAGGUCAACAGAUACUUGUAUAACCUGUGGAUCGCUGUCAAAUAAAGAGAAGUGUGUUAAACUA